rnacentral:rRNA from 1 species
GCUUGUCUCAAAGAUUAAGCCAUGCAUGUCUAAGUUUAAAUAGAAAACAGUGAAACUGCGAAUGGCUCAUUAAAUAAUUUUGCAUAUACAAGAUAGUCAACUCUACUUGGAUAACCGUAGUAAUUCUAGAGCUAAUACAUGCGUAAAGGGUGCUGAAAGGCAUCUGUGUUUAUUAGAUCAAAACCAAACGGCUUCGGCCGUCUCAUUGGUGACUCUGAAUAACUUUGGGCUGAUCGUAUGGCCUUGUGCCGACGACGUUUCCUUCGAAGGUGUGCCCUAUCAACUGUCGACUGUGAUAUAGACGCUCACAGUGGUUUUGACGGGUAACGGGGAAUCAGGGUUCGAUUCCGGAGAGGGAGCCUUAAAAACGGCUACCACAUCCAAGGAAGGCAGCAGG